CAUUUCUAAUUAAAUUAAAAAUUAAUUGGCAAUUGUUUGUGUGUGUGUGUGUGUGUGUGUGAAUGAUUCAAAAGGGGAUUUGAAGUCAGUCGGAAGCGGCUAAAACUGAGCAGACGAUUGCACUUCACAACAGUCUUGGUCGUCACGCAGCGUCCGGCAACGUGAGAAUCGUUGAUCACCUGGCAUUCAGCCAGAGGCUCAUUUACAUACCGGAUUUGGUAUGGGAUGAUCGUUUAGCUAAUGCCGCCCGGCAGUGCACCCAGAAAUGCCAAUUUCAUCACGAACCUUGAAGAUAAGAACUCAUUAGCAACGCAUUGAUGAAUGCCUUGAAAACUUUCUAAUAAUUAACAUCAUUUUGUUUUUUUCUAGUUUGACACAAUUAUUCAUUUGCCAAUCAAUAGAACCUGUUCCAUCGUAA